ensembl:lncRNA
AUGGCUCCUCUGGAGCCUCGGCCAGCUCCUGGCUGUGCCCUUGCUCAGGGGCACCUGGAGGGGCUGGGUCAGGCUCUGCCACGGUGCCCUCCUGCUCCUGCCUCGCCAGCUCUGGUGCCAGCUCAGCCUCUGGCAGUGGCUGCUGCUGGCUCAUCUCCUGGCUCUUGGCAUCUUCUUCAUCAUCUUCCUGGGCUUCCUCCAGCUCUGCUGGCGAUGUGCCAUCUCUCUCCUCACUUUUCAGCCUUCCUGCACUGCUCGGGGUGUCAUCUGUCCAGGCUGGCUCUUCUGUCCCCAAAACUCCCUCUGUGUCCUCUGCUGUCACCUCCCAGUCCUCUGGACAGGGCUCUUGGCCACUGCCAUCAUCCCCCCCAGCCCAGGGCUCCUCUCCUGGCUUCAGCUCCUCCUGUUCCCCCCCUGCUUCCACAGAGCCGCUUUCCUGCAGGUCCUCAGGCUCCUCUGGGGCUCUGCUCUCCCACUCCAGGGUGUCACCUGCCACAGCCUCUCCUGCCUCGGGAUCCUCUCCUGCCUCGGGAUCCUCUCCUGCCCCGGGAUCCUCUCCUGUCUCGGAGCCCUCUCCUGCCUCAGAGCCUUCUCCUGCCCCAGGAUCCUCUCCUGCCCUGGAGUCCUCUCCUGCCUCAGAGCCUUGUCCUGCCCCAUGGUCUUCUUCUGGCUCGGAGUCCUCUCCUGCCCUGGGGUCCUGUCCUGCCCCAUGGUCCUCUCCUCCCAGCGUCUCCCUGCUGGCCUCUCCCUUUUCUCCCUCGCCAUCUUUCACUCUGCCUGUGUCCUCCCCUCCCACAGAAUCUUCUUCAGCUCCUAAUGAAGCCUCCUCUGCUGGGAUGGCCUCAUGGACACUCGAGGGCUCCUGCUCUGGGCACAGCUCCUGUCCCCUUUCCUCCUCUGCAGCCAGAUCCAUCUCACACACGGGCAUUUUCUGCUGCUCAGACCUUUCCUGCUCUGCAUCAACAAAGUCCUCUUCCAGGUGACCUUUUGUGGGCAAAGCCAGGUGGCUUUCUGCAAGGACAGCAUGAGCAGAUUCUCUGUGCAGACACUCCUCUUCUUGCACAUCUUUUCCUUCUUCCUGGAAAUCUCCAUUCUCCUCGCAGGGGCUGUGGAGUCCCCUCUCCUCCUCCUCCUCCUCUGAGGGGUGUGAUGGCUCUGUGCUUGGGGUCUCUGCCCUGUCCUCCUCUUGCUCUGGCUUUUCCCAGCUGGUCACUGUCUGUCCAGGGAGACCCCUGUCCCCUGCCUGGGCCUCCACUUCUGAAUCCCUCGGGCUCAGCACAGCAGGUACUUCCUCCUCCUCCUCUUCCACCCACGCUCCCAAAUCUUCCCGGCUCCCUGAGGCACUCAAGGAAGCGGCCAUGCCCGGUGGGGACAUGGCUCUGUCCUGCAGGAUGCUGCUCUCCACACCCAGCCCCUGGAGCACGACUUCCCCAACCCUCUCCUCUGCUUCAGGGCUGUCCCCAUGCUCAGAUCCCUCAGAGGGGUCUUGCUCUUCCCCAGGCCCCUCUGACACAGCCCCUCCACAAGCCUCUGUGGAGAAAACGGGGCUGGGGACACGGGCAUCCCGGGGGGCCCCCACGGUGCUGA